rnacentral:rRNA from 1 species
CGCCGUAAACGAUGUCGACUUGGAGGUUGUGCCCUUGAGGCGUGGCUUCCGGAGCUAACGCGUUAAGUCGACCGCCUGGGGAGUACGGCCGCAAGGUUAAAACUCAAAUGAAUUGACGGGGGCCCGCACAAGCGGUGGAGCAUGUGGUUUAAUUCGAUGCAACGCGAAGAACCUUACCUACUCUUGACAUCCAGAGAACUUUCCAGAGAUGGAUUGGUGCCUUCGGGAACUCUGAGACAGGUGCUGCAUGGCUGUCGUCAGCUCGUGUUGUGAAAUGUUGGGUUAAGUCCCGCAACGAGCGCAACCCUUAUCCUUUGUUGCCAGCGGUUAGGCCGGGAACUCAAAGGAGACUGCCAGUGAUAAACUGGAGGAAGGUGGGGAUGACGUCAAGUCAUCAUGGCCCUUACGAGUAGGGCUACACACGUGCUACAAUGGCGCAUACAAAGAGAAGCGACCUCGCGAGAGCAAGCGGACCUCAUAAAGUGCGUCGUAGUCCGGAUUGGAGUCUGCAACUCGACUCCAUGAAGUCGGAAUCGCUAGUAAUCGUAGAUCAGAAUGCUACGGUGAAUACGUUCCCGGGCCUUGUACACACCGCCCGUCACACCAUGGGAGUGGGUUGCAAAAGAAGUAGGUAGCUUAAC